ensembl:lncRNA cell wall protein DAN4-like
CUUAUAUAAGAGCGGAGGAAGGACACGGCCACAUUGUGCGCAUCUGUUGGCUUGGUCGCAGUUUGAAGCAAAUCUCAUUCUCUGUGGUAUCUUUUCUGAUUACAGUUUUCUCUCCAUCAUGAAGUGGAUGAUCAUAAGAUUUUGCAUGUUGGCUCUGCUGGUCUCCCAGGCUCAGACUAAAGGGACAACUGACUUGGCAACAACUGAUGAUACUUCAGUUACAAGAACAAAUCCAACAACUGUAAAGACUUCAACUAAGACUACAGCUCAACCCACUGUUCCAACAAUUGAUACUACUUCACCCAUAAUAACGAGCAUAAAUACUUCAGAUACAACUCAAGCCCCUGUGACAACUCCAUCAGAUCAGCCAACCACAACGUCUCCAUCUUCAGAGCCCACCAUGAUUCAAACAACUGAAUUUCCAAGCAACAUGACUGAUAUGACCACAAUGACAAAUUCCUCAACGCCAGUGAAUGCCACCAUGACAACAGUAGGACAGACCUCAAUCUGGACGACUACGUCAUCCAGCGACUCACUGACAGUUACCAUCAUCAGCUAUACUCUAUCCGUCCUGCUGUACAUGAUGUUGAAUUGAGCAUUAUUUGAUUCAGCACCCUGGAUUAAAGCUAAACUUGUUUUGGAAAGUACUGUAGUACAGUAUAAUAGAAUAUAAGUAAUAUAUAAAGGUAAAGUAUAUACUAUAUGUAUUACUUUAUAUAUAAAUGACUAAUGAGUAUAUAAAUGACUAUUACAUUUACAGUAGUAUAAGCCAAAACUGAACAACAGAUAAUAGUUUUAUUGAUUGAAUGUUUGUUAUGGUUGUACAAACCUGCUUGCUGCAUCACAAAUGAGGACUACCUAAAAAAGCACCUACGAUUUCAAAUGAAAAAUGUAUAGUUUAAAAUAAUGUCUGAAAUAAAAAAAAGGAUCUGUUGAUUGUAUGUAUGUCUUUCAUAGUAAAGACUAAUUCAGAUUUUCAUUUUAAUGUGACAGUAAUGUAUUUACUGUUUAGUAAGUGAGCCUUUUCUGGACUAAAAUAGUUUAAGCAAAAUCAAUCAUUUCCUUUUACUCAGUUUAUGAUCUCAUUACAUCCUAGGAAAACAUUAAACAAAUGAGUCAAGCUACAAUCUACAAGAUAAGAAUGACAAAUAAUCCAGUUGACUUCAUGUUUCUGGGUCAAUAAAUUUAGUAGUCGGAUACUGAAUAGGAGAUGCACGUCUUUCACAAAAUAAGAGGGAUCAUGAAAAUUGCACGUUUUUUAAUUUAGUAGCCUACUGUAUUGAAUAAGCUAUUUCACAUAACGGAUGUUUAUAUAUACUCCACAAGACAAAAUAAUAACUGAAUUUAUAAAAAUGACCCCGUUCAAAAGUUUACAUACCCUUGAAUAUUAAUACUGUGUGUCAUUUCCUGGAUGAUCCACGACUGUUGUUUUGUUUUGUGACAGUUGUUCAUGAGUCCCUUGUUUGUCCUGAAUAGUAAACCGCCUGCUGUAUGGUUUAUUAGGAUAGGACAAUAUUUGGCUGAGAUACAACUAUUUGAAAAUCUAGAAUCUGAAGGUACAAAAAAAUCAAGAUACUGAGAAUAUCGCCGUAUUACUAAUCAAAAAUUAAGUUUUGAUAUAUUUAUGGUAGGAAAUUUACAAAAUAUCUUCAUGGAGCAUGAUCUUUACUUAAUAUCCUAAUGAUUUUUGGCAUAAAAGAAAAAUUUAUAAUUUUGACCCAUACAAUGUUUUUUUGGCUAUUGCUAAAAAUAUACCUAAGCAACUUAAGACUGGUUUUGUGGUCCAGGGUCACAUAUGCCUCGGCAACUUUGGGCACCCGGGUAGAUAAGAGAAGUUAUUUCUUGAAAACAAGCAAACAGACUAGCAGGUGGUUUUCUACAAUGAAAUCAAGCAUUAUGUAAAAAAUAGACAAUUGUGGAAAAGUCCUGGGAAUGACGUAUCAACAAGUGGUCUGUAUGCUCAUUGGACAGUGACCGAUAAUGAAAUUGUAUAAAGAUGGUAGCCUGG